CGAGUGGCGGACGGGUGAGUAAUGCUUGGGAACUUGCCUUUGCGAGGGGGAUAACAGUUGGAAACGACUGCUAAUACCGCAUAAUGUCUUCGGACCAAACGGGGCUCAGGCUCCGGCGCAAAGAGAGGCCCAAGUGAGAUUAGCUAGUUGGUAGGGUAACGGCUUACCAAGGCAACGAUCUCUAGCUGUUCUGAGAGGAAGAUCAGCCACACUGGGACUGAGACGCGGCCCAGACUCCUACGGGAGGCAGCAGUGGGGAAUAUUGCACAAUGGGGGAAACCCUGAUGCAGCCAUGCCGCGUGUGUGAAGAAGGCCUUCGGGUUGUAAAGCACUUUCAGUUGUGAGGAAAGGUUGGUAGCUAAUACCUGCCAGCUGUGACGUUAACAACAGAAGAAGCACCGGCUAACUCCGUGCCAGCAGCCGCGGUAAUACGGAGGGUGCGAGCGUUAAUCGGAAUUACUGGGCGUAAAGCGCACGCAGGCGGUUUGUUAAGCUAGAUGUGAAAGCCCCGGGCUCAACCUGGGAUGGUCAUUUAGAACUGGCAGACUAGAGUCUUGGAGAGGGGAGUGGAAUUCCAGGUGUAGCGGUGAAAUGCGUAGAUAUCUGGAGGAACAUCAGUGGCGAAGGCGACUCCCUGGCCAAAGACUGACGCUCAUGUGCGAAAGUGUGGGUAGCGAACAGGAUUAGAUACCCUGGUAG
rnacentral:rRNA from 1 species